AGAGUUUGAUCCUGGCUCAGAUUGAACGCUGCGGCACGCUUAACACAUGCAAGUCGAGCGGCAGCGCGAAUAGUAGCAAUACUAUUUGCGGCGAGCGGCGGACGGGUGAGUAGUCCGUAGGAACCUGCCCGAGAGAGGGGGACAACCAAGGGAAACUUUGGCUAAUACCGCAUAAACUCGGAAGAGAAAAGUUGCCUGCAAGGGUGACGCUUUCGGAGGGGCCUGCGUCCGAUUAGCUAGUUGGUAGGGUAAGAGCCUACCAAGGCAAAGAUCGGUAACUGGUCUGAGAGAACGACCAGUCACACUGGGACUGAGACACGGCCCAGACUCCUACGGGAGGCAG
rnacentral:rRNA from 1 species